rnacentral:rRNA from 1 species
GACGAACCGUCCAAACGUUAUUCGGAAUCACUGGGCUUACAGAGUUCGUAGGCGGUCUGGAAAGUUGGGUGUGAAAUCCCUCGGCUCAACCGAGGAACUGCGCUCAAAACUACCCGACUCGAGGGAGAUAGAGGAAAGCGGAACUGAUGGUGGAGCGGUGAAAUGCGUUGAUAUCAUCAGGAACACCGGUGGCGAAGGCGGCUUUCUGGGUCUUACCUGACGCUGAGGAACGAAAGCUAGGGGAGCAAACGGG